AGUGAACGCUGGCGGUAGGCCUAACACAUGCAAGUCGAACGGCAGCACAGUAAGAGCUUGCUCUUACGGGUGGCGAGUGGCGGACGGGUGAGGAAUACAUCGGAAUCUACUUUUUCGUGGGGGAUAACGUAGGGAAACUUACGCUAAUACCGCAUACGACCUACGGGUGAAAGCAGGGGAUCUUCGGACCUUGCGCGAUUGAAUGAGCCGAUGUCGGAUUAGCUAGUUGGCGGGGUAAAGGCCCACCAAGGCGACGAUCCGUAGCUGGUCUGAGAGGAUGAUCAGCCACACUGGAACUGAGACACGGUCCAGACUCCUACGGGAGGCAGCAGUGGGGAAUAUUGGACAAUGGGCGCAAGCAUGAUACAGCCAUACCGCGUGGGUGAAGAAGGCCUUCGGGUUGUAAAGCCCUUUUGUUGGGAAAGAAAAGCAGCAGGUUAAUACCCCGCUGUUCUGACGGUACCCAAAGAAUAAGCACCGGCUAACUUCGUG
rnacentral:rRNA from 1 species